rnacentral:rRNA from 1 species
GGGUUGUGAGGUUAAGCGACUAAGCGUACACGGUGGAUGCCCUGGCAGUCAGAGGCGAUGAAGGGCGUGCUAAUCUGCGAUAAGCGCCGGUAAGGUGAUAUGAACCGUUAUAACCGGCGAUACCCGAAUGGGGAAACCCAGUGUGACUCGUCACACUAUCAUUAACUGAAUCCAUAGGUUAAUGAGGCGAACCGGGGGAACUGAAACAUCUAAGUACCCCGAGGAAAAGAAAUCAACCGAGAUUCCCCCAGUAGCGGCGAGCGAACGGGGAGGAGCCCAGAGCCUGAAUCAGCAUGUGUGUUAGUGGAAGCGUCUGGAAAGGCGCGCGAUACAGGGUGACAGCCCCGUACACAAAAGCGCAUGUGCUGUGAGCUCGAUGAGUAGGGCGGGACACGUGGUAUCCUGUCUGAAUAUGGGGGGACCAUCCUCCAAGGCUAAAUACUCCUGACUGACCGAUAGUGAACCAGUACCGUGAGGGAAAGGCGAAAAGAACCCCGGCGAGGGGAGUGAAAAAGAACCUGAAACCGUGUACGUACAAGCAGUGGGAGCACAGGUUUACCUGUGUGACUGCGUACCUUUUGUAUAAUGGGUCAGCGACUUAUAUUCUGUAGCAAGGUUAACCGAAUAGGGGAGCCGGAGGGAAACCGAGUCUUAAUUGGGCGUUAAGUUGCAGGGUAUAGACCCGAAACCCGGUGAUCUAGCCAUGGGCAGGUUGAAGGUUGGGUAACACUAACUGGAGGACCGAACCGACUAAUGUUGAAAAAUUAGCGGAUGACCUGUGGCUGGGGGUGAAAGGCCAAUCAAACCGGGAGAUAGCUGGUUCUCCCCGAAAGCUAUUUAGGUAGCGCCUCGUGAAUUCAUCUCCGGGGUAGAGCACUGUUUCGGCUAGGGGCCAUCCCGGCUUACCAACCCGAUGCAAACUGCGAAUACCGGAGAAUGUUAUCACGGGAGACACACGGCGGGUGCUAACGUCCGUCGUGAAGAGGGAAACAACCCAGACCGCCAGCUAAGGUCCCAAAGUCAUGGUUAAGUGGGAAACGAUGUGGGAAGGCCCAGACAGCCAGGAUGUUGGCUUAGAAGCAGCCAUCAUUUAAAGAAAGCGUAAUAGCUCACUGGUCGAGUCGGCCUGCGCGGAAGAUGUAACGGGGCUAAACCAUGCACCGAAGCUGCGGCAGCGACACUGUGUGUUGUUGGGUAGGGGAGCGUUCUGUAAGCCUGUGAAGGUGGCCUGUGAGGGUUGCUGGAGGUAUCAGAAGUGCGAAUGCUGACAUAAGUAACGAUAAAGCGGGUGAAAAGCCCGCUCGCCGGAAGACCAAGGGUUCCUGUCCAACGUUAAUCGGGGCAGGGUGAGUCGACCCCUAAGGCGAGGCCGAAAGGCGUAGUCGAUGGGAAACAGGUUAAUAUUCCUGUACUUGGUGUUACUGCGAAGGGGGGACGGAGAAGGCUAUGUUGGCCGGGCGACGGUUGUCCCGGUUUAAGCGUGUAGGUGUGUGUUCCAGGUAAAUCCGGUUCACUUUAACACUGAGGCGUGAUGACGAGGCACUACGGUGCUGAAGCAACAAAUGCCCUGCUUCCAGGAAAAGCCUCUAAGCAUCAGGUAACAUCAAAUCGUACCCCAAACCGACACAGGUGGUCAGGUAGAGAAUACCAAGGCGCUUGAGAGAACUCGGGUGAAGGAACUAGGCAAAAUGGUGCCGUAACUUCGGGAGAAGGCACGCUGACACGUAGGUGAAGUGAUUUACUCAUGGAGCUGAAGUCAGUCGAAGAUACCAGCUGGCUGCAACUGUUUAUUAAAAACACAGCACUGUGCAAACACGAAAGUGGACGUAUACGGUGUGACGCCUGCCCGGUGCCGGAAGGUUAAUUGAUGGGGUCAGCGCAAGCGAAGCUCCUGAUCGAAGCCCCGGUAAACGGCGGCCGUAACUAUAACGGUCCUAAGGUAGCGAAAUUCCUUGUCGGGUAAGUUCCGACCUGCACGAAUGGCGUAAUGAUGGCCAGGCUGUCUCCACCCGAGACUCAGUGAAAUUGAACUCGCUGUGAAGAUGCAGUGUACCCGCGGCAAGACGGAAAGACCCCGUGAACCUUUACUAUAGCUUGACACUGAACAUUGAGCCUUGAUGUGUAGGAUAGGUGGGAGGCUUUGAAGUGUGGACGCCAGUCUGCAUGGAGCCGACCUUGAAAUACCACCCUUUAAUGUUUGAUGUUCUAACGUGGACCCGUAAUCCGGGUUGCGGACAGUGUCUGGUGGGUAGUUUGACUGGGGCGGUCUCCUCCUAAAGAGUAACGGAGGAGCACGAAGGUUGGCUAAUCCUGGUCGGACAUCAGGAGGUUAGUGCAAUGGCAUAAGCCAGCUUGACUGCGAGCGUGACGGCGCGAGCAGGUGCGAAAGCAGGUCAUAGUGAUCCGGUGGUUCUGAAUGGAAGGGCCAUCGCUCAACGGAUAAAAGGUACUCCGGGGAUAACAGGCUGAUACCGCCCAAGAGUUCAUAUCGACGGCGGUGUUUGGCACCUCGAUGUCGGCUCAUCACAUCCUGGGGCUGAAGUAGGUCCCAAGGGUAUGGCUGUUCGCCAUUUAAAGUGGUACGCGAGCUGGGUUUAGAACGUCGUGAGACAGUUCGGUCCCUAUCUGCCGUGGGCGCUGGAGAACUGAGGGGGGCUGCUCCUAGUACGAGAGGACCGGAGUGGACGCAUCACUGGUGUUCGGGUUGUCAUGCCAAUGGCACUGCCCGGUAGCUAAAUGCGGAAGAGAUAAGUGCUGAAAGCAUCUAAGCACGAAACUUGCCCCGAGAUGAGUUCUCCCUGAGACUUAGAGUCUCCUGAAGGAACGUUGAAGACGACGACGUUGAUAGGCCGGGUGUGUAAGCGCAGCGAUGCGUUGAGCUAACCGGUACUAAUGAACCGUGAGGCUUAACCUUACAACGCCGAAG